UACGUAGGGUGCAGGCGUUAAUCGGAAUUACUGGGCGUAAAAGCGCACGCAGGUGGCUGAGUCAGUCGAUUGUGAAAGCCCUGGGCUUAACCUGGGAAUUGCAGUCGAUACUACUCAGCUAGAGUGCGGUAGGGGGAGACUGGAAUUCCUGGUGUAGCGGUGAAAUGCGUAGAUAUCUGGAGGAACACAGCGGCGAAGGCGGCCUUUCUGGACGAGACAC
rnacentral:rRNA from 1 species